ACAGAAGACGUGUUCAAAGAAGUAUCUGAUCCAUUCAAAAUUGUUUCUUUUGAUGAAGAAACAGAAAACACAUUACAUGAAGAAUUCAGAAAAUGGGAGGAAACGCAACAAUAUUUGGAAACAGGUUUAGACUUACACAUUUACGAGUCAAAAACCCGAAGAUUUAGACUAUAUUCUCUCCUUGUUGAUGGCGGAACUAGAGUAUUCAAACACAUUUUUGAUGACAAAAUUCCUCCUGCAGAUCUGCAAACUGUUCUUUCAAAUCCUACAACAAAGGGAAAAUUGUUAUACCUUAGGACGAAAAAGGUUUUGAUCGAUUCACAGGAACAACUGUUGUAUCCAAGCCAGGGAUCUCCACAGUCAACGACAUUUGAUAUUACACUCCUAGCAAUUCUGCUCCGAAAUAUAUGUGGCUUUAAUCAAUGUGACAAACGUUGGGAUGAUAAAAAUCCUGUGGCUGCUGACAUUUCAACAAUAGCCGAUAUUGUAAGAAUUCGUGAAGCCCGAAAUGAGGUCAUUUCGCAUUUGUCACAAACAGGGAAACUUUCAAAAGAAGAAUUCGAAAGACAUUGGGAUGGAAUCGCAAAGGU